rnacentral:rRNA from 1 species
GCUUAACACAUGCAAGUCGAGGGGCAGCAUUUUAGUUUGCUUGCAAACUGAAGAUGGCGACCGGCGCACGGGUGAGUAACACGUAUCCAACCUGCCGAUAACUCCGGGAUAGCCUUUCGAAAGAAAGAUUAAUACCGGAUAGCAUACGAAUAUCGCAUGAUAUUUUUAUUAAAGAAUUUCGGUUAUCGAUGGGGAUGCGUUCCAUUAGUUUGUUGGCGGGGUAACGGCCCACCAAGACUACGAUGGAUAGGGGUUCUGAGAGGAAGGUCCCCCACAUUGGAACUGAGACACGGUCCAAACUCCUACGGGAGGCAGCAGUGAGGAAUAUUGGUCAAUGGGCGAGAGCCUGAACCAGCCAAGUAGCGUGAAGGAUGAAGGCUCUAUGGGUCGUAAACUUCUUUUAUAUGGGAAUAAAGUUUUCCACGUGUGGAAUUUUGUAUGUACCAUAUGAAUAAGGAUCGGCUAACUCCGUGCCAGCAGCCGCGGUAAUACGGAGGAUCCGAGCGUUAUCCGGAUUUAUUGGGUUUAAAGGGAGCGUAGGUGGAUUGUUAAGUCAGUUGUGAAAGUUUGCGGCUCAACCGUAAAAUUGCAGUUGAAACUGGCAGUCUUGAGUACAGUAGAGGUGGGCGGAAUUCGUGGUGUAGCGGUGAAAUGCUUAGAUAUCACGAAGAACUCCGAUUGCGAAGGCAGCUCACUAGACUGUCACUGACACUGAUGCUCGAAAGUGUGGGUAUCAAACAGGAUUAGAUACCCUGGUAGUCCACACAGUAAACGAUGAAUACUCGCUGUUUGCGAUAUACAGUAAGCGGCCAAGCGAAAGCAUUAAGUAUUCCACCUGGGGAGUACGCCGGCAACGGUGAAACUCAAAGGAAUUGACGGGGGCCCGCACAAGCGGAGGAACAUGUGGUUUAAUUCGAUGAUACGCGAGGAACCUUACCCGGGCUUAAAUUGCAACAGAAUAUAUUGGAAACAGUAUAGCCGUAAGGCUGUUGUGAAGGUGCUGCAUGGUUGUCGUCAGCUCGUGCCGUGAGGUGUCGGCUUAAGUGCCAUAACGAGCGCAACCCUUAUCUUUAGUUACUAACAGGUUAUGCUGAGGACUCUAGAGAGACUGCCGUCGUAAGAUGUGAGGAAGGUGGGGAUGACGUCAAAUCAGCACGGCCCUUACGUCCGGGGCUACACACGUGUUACAAUGGGGGGUACAGAAGGCGGCUACCUGGUGACAGGAUGCUAAUCCCAAAAACCUCUCUCAGUUCGGAUCGAAGUCUGCAACCCGACUUCGUGAAGCUGGAUUCGCUAGUAAUCGCGCAUCAGCCAUGGCGCGGUGAAUACGUUCCCGGGCCUUGUACACACCGCCCGUCAAGCCAUGAAAGCCGGGGGUACCUGAAGUACGUAACCGCAAGGAGCGUCCUAGGGUAAAACUGGUAAUUGGGGCUAAGUCAUAAC